rnacentral:snRNA from 1 species
GUGCUGGCUUCAGCAGCAAAUAUACUAAAAUUGGAAUGAUACAGAGAAGAUUAGAAAGACUCAUAUACAAGGAUGAUGUGCAAAUUCAUGAAGCAUUCCGUAUUUUU